UACGGAGGGUGCAAGCGUUAUCCGGAUUCACUGGGUUUAAAGGGUGUGUAGGCGGGUAUUUAAGUCAGUGGGGAAAUCUCCGGGCUCAACCCGGAAACUGCCAUUGAUACUAUUUAUCUUGAAUUCUGUUGAGGUAGGCGGAAUACAUCAUGUAGCGGUGAAAUGCUUAGAUAUGAUGUAGAACACCGAUUGCGAAGGCAGCUUACUAAACAGAUAUUGACGCUGAGGCACGAAAGCGUGGGGAUCAAACAGG
rnacentral:rRNA from 1 species